GUUCGUGUGGUUGGUGCCCUUUUUCUGCGGGCCAGGCGACGUCGUCAGUUCGGCGCCUCCGUUCUCGCCUCCCUCCUACCAAGACAAGUGACAGUCUAAUUAUUUGCUGGGUUUCAAUUACUCGGUUCAAAGAGAAAUAGUGUCUGUUUGUUAGAAGGGACCUGCAGAAACAAGAAAGACUAACUUGAAUAGAAAACUGUUUCACUGAAGAAAAUCUAGAAAUACUACAAAAUUACAAUGAGUGAGUUUCGGUUUAAGAUUCAGUCGUUUUCCGCAUCCAAAACACACUAUUGUUUACAUUCACACUUUAAUCGCAAGUGAAUUUUGCGAAUGUGAGAGGAAUAGUUGGGCUCGUUGUCCAAAAUGAUUCCCAAAGCACAGAACUACAGCAGGAAUCGGCGUGCUGCCAGCCCCAGGCCGAAGGUUCCGGGAUUUCUUGCCCACUAUUGCCCACACAAUGCCCAUAAACUUAUCCUCCUUGCUUGCUUCAAUGAUUCUCUAGACAGUGGAAGAGCCUCCAGCGGUGUUCUUCUGAAUAUUGGGAGAUGUUGCAACAGGAAUUAACUGAAGUUGAUUUUGGGAAAAGACAUUUUUUAGGUGGAUUAUACGAAAAGUUAAUCAACAAAUAGUUAUUUUCGACUAUAUUUUAUUUGGAGAUGCAGCCACGUUUAAUAAAACUGGUUGUAUUAACAGACAUCAUUUUUAUCAAAUAAUCCAUAUCACAUACAUAAUCAAAAUAGAUAGUUGUUGAAUGUCUAGUAGGACAAUAUUUUUUUGGAAAUUGUAUUGAACGAACAAUUUCUUGGUUAAAGGAUCGGAGCAAAUGGUCCAGUACAGUGGCCACCAACAUCACCAGAUUUCAAUACAAUGGACUCGUUUUUCUGGGGUCACAUUAAUAAUGGAAUGUGAAAAAUAUCUUCAACAACAUACGGGAUUAAUUCCGAAAUGUUUCUAUAGAAAUGCUUCGUAAUAUGAUUAACUCUCAAUUAUCGCUUUCAAUCAUGCACAGAUGUCUUUGAAGGACAUUUUGAACACACAUUGUGAUAACCAAAAGGUGUACUGUAUACUGCAGUAGAUAGGAUAGUUUUUUAAUAUUUUGUUCAUUUAAUUUCUUUGUAAUAUACUCGUUUUUACUUUG